UACGGGGGGGGCAAGCGUUGUUCGGAAUUACUGGGCGUAAAGAGCUCGUAGGCGGUUUGUCGCGUUGUUCGUGAAAACUCACAGCUCAACUGUGGGCGUGCGGGCGAUACGGGCAGACUGGAGUACUGCAGGGGAGACUGGAAUUCCUGGUGUAGCGGUGGAAUGCGCAGAUAUCAGGAGGAACACCGGUGGCGAAGGCGGGUCUCUGGGCAGUAACUGACGCUGAGGAGCGAAAGCGUGGGGAGCGAACAGG
rnacentral:rRNA from 1 species